rnacentral:rRNA from 1 species
CAACCUGCCCACCACUUGGGGAUAACCUUGCGAAAGUAAGACUAAUACCCAAUGAUAUCUCUAGAAGACAUCUGAAGGAGAUUAAAGAUUUAUCGGUGAUGGAUGGGGAUGCGUCUGAUUAGCUUGUUGGCGGGGUAACGGCCCACCAAGGCAACGAUCAGUAGGGGUUCUGAGAGGAAGGUCCCCCACAUUGGAACUGAGACACGGUCCAAACUCCUACGGGAGGCAGCAGUGAGGAAUAUUGGUCAAUGGACGAGAGUCUGAACCAGCCAAGUAGCGUGCAGGAUGACGGCCCUAUGGGUUGUAAACUGCUUUUAUAAGGGAAUAAAGUGAGUCUCGUGAGAUUUUUUGCAUGUACCUUAUGAAUAAGGACCGGCUAAUUCCGUGCCAGCAGCCGCGGUAAUACGGAAGGUCCGGGCGUUAUCCGGAUUUAUUGGGUUUAAAGGGAGCGUAGGCCGGAGAUUAAGCGUGUUGUGAAAUGUAGAUGCUCAACAUCUGCACUGCAGCGCGAACUGGUUUCCUUGAGUACGCACAAAGUGGGCGGAAUUCGUGGUGUAGCGGUGAAAUGCUUAGAUAUCACGAAGAACUCCGAUUGCGAAGGCAGCCCGCUAAGCUGCAACUGAC